CACGAAUGCGCGUGCACGGAGGGCGUCUCCAUGCGAGGCUUUUAUGCCCUUGAUUGCUUUGAGCAUGCGGUGAUGCUCUCCUUUUUGCUUGAAUCCGUUCCAAAGACUUGAGGCCAAUUAUGAUCAUAUCACAUAGCCACCAUCAGUAUUGAGUUUGAGACCACUACUCCGACGGAUCCAAGGGGUUUCCAGUUCCCGCCGACUGACUAGCCGCUUGGGAAGAUCGUUGGCUUUGCGGAUAGAAUCCCAAUAAGAGGUAAUCGAGCCGCUUUUAUCUUGAACAUUCGAGAUGGGAUUCUGAUUAUUAACGUGAUUUAUAUCUUUUCAAAUGGCCGAACAAGUGAUUGCUGCAAUUUCAAUUUCAGAGCUACUAAGAAUAAACUGCCAAUUAUCCCAAAGGUAAUGGAAUGAGGCGUUUCGAUUAUGAGGGAUAGUGGCAAAGGGAAGAACCAAGCGUCAGAUUUGUUGUGCUCGAGGACAACCAAAAGAGCAUGGGUAGUGGAUUCCUCUUGGGAACGAUAGCAUGGAUAGAAAGCUAGACCGGUGAGAAAAUAGAACAUGGCCGAGUCAUCGGAGCAGUGUGCGACCUUCAACUGCUCCUCCUGGAAUCUGGUGACAUAUUCCCGCAGCGUCUCACCCUCCUUCUGUCUGAUGGUGGCGAGAUGGGUCGCUGUCUUUUUAUCAUAAUGCCGAGAAGAGAACUGGGCGAGGAACUCCCUUUUCAGCUGAGAGUAGGUCGAGAUCGACCUGGCUGGCAAUCUCCGAUACCACAAUCGCGCGCUGCCAGUAAGCGCGAUCUAAAAGGCGCGGCAUUUGAUUGCGUCUGAUGCCGCUUGGAAGUCCAUGAGGUCUUCAAAGACCUCAACAUAAUCCUUGGGGUCCUUCGACCCAUCAUAAGGCUUCACGGUAGGAGCUUUGAACUUCGGAGGGAUCGGUGCUUCCAAAACGUCCGAGGUGAAGGGCGAUUCUCCCAAGACGCCAUCGUUCAGUGAGCCUUCUUUCUGCUCACAUUUGGCCUUUAAGGCCUCCACCUGAGCAUCGAGCUUGCCCCUCAGCUGGUCGAACUCCUCCCUCGUGAUCACCCCUGCGGGAGUUGAUUACGCUUGUUUACAUGCGUAAAAAGAAGGACCAUUUGGGAGUGCAAAUUAAUCAAAAGAAGCAAAAAGA